AGACAGGUUAGUUUUACCCUACUGAUGACCUCACCGCAAUGGUAAUUGAGCUUAGUACGAGAGGAACCGCUCAUUCAGAUAAUUGGUUUUUGCGGCUGUCCGACCGGGCAGUGCCGCGACGCUACCAUCUGCUGGAUAAUGGCUGAACGCCUCUAAGUCAGAAUCCAUGCCAGAACGCGGUGAUACCUCCCACACGUUGUAGACGGAUACGAAUAGGCCUCGGCCUCGAAUCUUAGCAGGCGAUUCUUCCAUCUGGCUUGAAGCGCCAGGUGGUAUU
rnacentral:rRNA from 1 species